CGGCGAUGAGAAUGAAGAGCCUGAGUCCCAACAACACCUUGCCGUGGUGGAAGGUUCCGGCGAGGUAUAUAUAAUUCCUAUUGUUUGACGCCACCGUUAAUACUACGUACUAAUUAACGAAUCUUGAACUGUUAGCCUGCUGGAUCGACGAAAGGGCAGAAGACCCGAGGUCGUAGAAAGGUGAUGGAAGGGAGGCUUGUCAUCACGGAAGUGACAGAAGAGGGCAGGCCGGUUGCUCCCAAAAAAG
rnacentral:lncRNA from 1 species